GUGAAUUUCAAAUAGACAAACUGGUUUUACUUUCAGUGCAGCUACUCUGUCUUUAAAUUUGGGAUUCACUUUGACUUCAUAUUUAGUAAAUAGCCCUGUUUGUUUUCAUGCAAUCUAGCCUAUGAUUUAUAUAAGUAUAUUAUAUAUUUACAAAAAUGCUCAUUUUGUGUUUGUGCCAUUUAUCAGUCACAGAUGGCUGGUCUCACCUCGAAAUGAAUAUCACACAUACUGAGGCACGUAUACCGUAUGUGGAUGGUUAUCAGAGCAGGUUAGAGUGCAGGGAGGUGGGAUGAGCACAUUAGACAUGUAAGGGCAAGAUGCUUUAAGCUGGGUUUCUCUAAUUAGACGAAGCUGUAGUGUUGCCAAUAUAAGGGAACCUAUCAGUGUGCUGUUAUGAGACAAUAAGCAAGGG